GUUCGAGUCUCAGUCCACGAAGACCUCCUGCAGCCACUGAUUUCUUCCUAGGACGUGAAGACCUUACCCAGCUACGUCGUCAACCUCGGGAGACAGGAAGUGGAACCGUUAAUUCCGAUGAAUGCAAAUGAGCAGAACUUUUAAAGAAGAAUUUAAAGUAAAAUUACGUCAAAAUGUAGCUGCUUUGACUUCUUCGUCUCAGAUCCGAGCAUAGACUUCCCCUUUGUGCUAUUUGAAGGGACUUAGGAUAAAUUUGAAAAGCCUGAACUAAAGAAAUGGUUGGGGAGACUCCGUCUCAAAAAAAAAAAAAAAAAGAAAGAAAGAAAGAAAAGGAAUGGUUGGUUUUAUACUAGAAGAGGAAGUGUGGUUUACAUGAGAGAUUUCAGAAUCAAAUGUACUUGAUUCUUCAAGACAAUCUUCCUGUUAUCUGGAGAGAAAAACGUGUUUCAGGACGGCAUGGAAACAGAUAAAAGUACACAGAGAAUUACUUGCCUUAUCUUGAAGGAUGAAUAAUUAACACAUUUCCUUAAAACAGUCUAAACAAAUGCCAAAGGGGGUUUGUUUUUCGUAGGAAAAGCUUGAUUUCACUAUUGUAAUCUAGCAACACUGAACUUUCAAAAUGAUUUUUGUAGUUUCCUAUGCUACAUAAAGCGAAAACAUGGAAUAAUGAAGAGCAAAAUGUCUUUUCAUUCCCAACUGUGACAGAAAACAAAUAGCAAGAUAACAAACUUAAUUGUAUCAAUGAUCACAUUAAGUGUAACUGGUCUAACACCUUAACUUAAGAAGGUUGUCAGGUUGGAUUUUUUUUUAAAAGUCAGACCCAAAUACAUGCUACCUACAGGUAAUACUUAAAAUAUUAAAGCACUAAUAGGUUAAGAGUAAAAGGAUGGAAAAAUAUAUACUAUCCUAACACUAGUCAAAAGAAAGCUGGAGUGGCUAUAUUAAAAACAAAAUGACUUCACCAAAAAGACUAUAUCAGGGAUAAAGAAAGUUACGUCAUAAUAAUGAUGAAGGAUACAGUUCAUCCAGUGGAAAGAACAAACCUAAAUUCUGCUCUUAAUACAGCUUCUAAGUAUGUGAGUAAAAACCUGUUAGAUCAAUAAAGUAACAGACAAAUCCACAAUUAUAAUCAGAUAUUUCAACAUAUCUCUCUUGGUAACUGAUAGAACUAACGCAGAAAAGCAACAGGAUAGAGAUUAUCUAAACAACAUAUCAACCUGCUUGAUCUCAUUUAUACUUCUGGAACACUCUCUCAAAGACAGUAAAAUUCAUCUUAGGUGGACAGGGGACACUUACCAGCAUAUACCAUAUUCUGGGCCAUAAAACAAGUCUCAAUAAAUGAGUAAAUGGACUCAAGUCAUACAAAGCAUGUUUUUGACAAAAAUGGAAUUAAAUUAGAAAUCAAUAACAGCUCACUAUAUAAUAUAUUGUCCAAAGGAGUAAAAAUUUGAAAAUGUACAAAUACUAUGAUAAUUGAAAUUAUAUAAUGUUUGAAAAUUUCCUUUAUGAGUCAUAAUUUUCUGUUAUAUCCUAAAGGGUAAACAAUAACAUAUUUGCAUUAAAACAAAAUAAUGUUUUUGUAGUAAGGAAAAAAUUUUAAGCUAUCUAUAUUGACUAUACAUUAAAGAGCAGAAUAAUUACUUUUGGUAUAUAUUCCAAUGCUUUAAUCAGUUUCUUAGCCAGUAUCACCAUAUUUUUAAGGAUUUUUUUUGACACAGUCUAUUAUUUUUAAAUUUUGAUAAAAUUGUAUGUAAUCUUCAAUGCUGGACUUUAUGGUUAAGAAACUUGAAAUUAUAGCUACCUUCAAAUGGCACUUCUCUGAACACCAUACCUUUUAAAUUGAGAUUUAUACUCUGCAUAUACUAAGGUAAUCAGAAGUCUUAGAAUAUAUCCAAUGAAAUGGAAAAUAUCCUCAUGAGUAUUGUGAAUAUGGAAUAUUAGAUUGCAAAUAUUUUAGCAGUUGAUGUAUUUUGCCUUCACAGUACAUCUCUAUUUUUUUUUUUUUGCCACUUAGUCUAGGAAGGGUACAUUUAUUUAAAAAUUAUUCCUAAAGCCAAACAAGUUGGCUCAAUUUAUGAUACCUUUGAAUGUUAAGCCAAAUUUAGGUGUUACAGAAACAUAAACCUUCUCAGUUGCAUUCCAUUCUAACACAAAUUGUAAAUGUAUCCAGUUAAAAAUGGGAGCACCAUCAAAAGACUACUGCCAUAGCUGAAGAAAUUCCUAUGCAAAAUUGAAGAAUUUCAAAAUUAAAUCCUGUAUAUAAUAUGUUAGUUCAUGACUUUAUUCAUUCAGUUUCUUCCUUAAUUUGUAGGACUAAAUCCCAUUGUCUUUAUGUUGGCAAGUUCUGAUAACUGAAAUUCUGUUGAAUUUUUUUUUUUUUCUUUGAGACGGAGUCUCA